CCUACGGGUGGCAGCAGUGGGGAAUAUUGGACAAUGGGGGAAACCCUGAUCCAGCAAUGCCGCGUGAGUGAUGAAGGCCUUCGGGUUGUAAAGCUCUUUUGUCAGGGACGAUGAUGACGGUACCUGACGAAUAAGCUCCGUCUAACUUCGUGCCAGCAGCCGCGGUAAUACGAGGGGAGCUAGCGUUGUUCGGAAUUACUGGGCGUAAAGGGCGUGUAGGCGGUACCAUAAGUCAGAUGUGAACGCCCUAGGCUGAACCUAGGAGGUGCAUUUGAUACUGUGGAACUAGAGAUCGAGAGAGGAAAGUGGAAUUACGAGUGUAGAGGUGAAAUUCGUAGAUAUUCGUAAGAACACCAGUGGCGAAGGCGACUUUCUGGCUCGAUACUGACGCUAAGGCGCGAAAGCGUGGGGAGCAAACAGGAUUAGAUACCCCAGUAGUC
rnacentral:rRNA from 1 species